rnacentral:rRNA from 1 species
CCUACGGGAGGCAGCAGUGGGGAAUCUUGCGCAAUGGGCGAAAGCCUGACGCAGCCAUGCCGCGUGAAUGAUGAAGGUCUUAGGAUUGUAAAAUUCUUUCACCGGGGACGAUAAUGACGGUACCCGGAGAAGAAGCCCCGGCUAACUUCGUGCCAGCAGCCGCGGUAAUACGAAGGGGGCUAGCGUUGCUCGGAAUUACUGGGCGUAAAGGGAGCGUAGGCGGAUAGUUUAGUCAGAGGUGAAAGCCCAGGGCUCAACCUUGGAAUUGCCUUUGAUACUGGCUAUCUUGAGUAUGGGAGAGGUAUGCGGAACUCCGAGUGUAGAGGUGAAAUUCGUAGAUAUUCGGAAGAACACCAGUGGCGAAGGCGGCAUACUGGCCCAUUACUGACGCUGAGGCUCGAAAGCGUGGGGAGCAAACAGGAUUAGAUACCCUGGUAGUCCACGCUGUAAACGAUGAGUGCUAGUUGUCGGCAUGCAUNCAUGUCGGUGACGCAGCUAACGACAUUAAGACACUCCGCCGUCGGGGAGGUACGGUCGCGAAGAAUUAAAACUAACGAAAGGAAAGUUAGACGGCGUGAGACGUGCCGAACGGACGACGACGAGGGAGGAGG